AAACAUAAAGGUUUGGUCCUGGCCUUCUUAUUAGUUGUUAAUAAACUUGUACAUGCAAGUAUCCACCCACCAGUGAGAAUGCCCUUCAGAUCAUUAUCAGUCAGAAGGAGCUGGCAUCAAGUACACACCAAUGUAGCUCAUAACGCCUUGCUCCGCCGCACCCCACGGGAUACAGCAGUAAUGAAAAUUUAGCUAUUAAUGGAAGUUAGACGAAGUGAUACUAACAAAGGAUUGGUCAAUUUCGUGCCAGCCACCGUGGUCAUACGAUUAACCCAAAUUAAUAAGCACUGGCGUAAAGCGUGUUUAAGAGUAAGAUAAAAUUAAGUUUUACCUAAACUGUAAAAAGCUAAAGAUAAAAUAAAAAUAAUCUGCAAAAGUGACUUUAACAACUCUGAACACACGAUAGCUAAGAAACAAACUGGGAUUAGAUACCACACUAUGCCUAGCGCUAAACCUUGAUAACUACUAACGAAGUUAUUCGCCAGAGAACUACUAGCUAAAGCUUGAAACUCAAAGGACUUUGCCAUGCUUUAUAUCCACCUAGAGGAGUCUGUCCCGUAAUCGAUAACCCCGAUAAACCUUACCACCACUUGCUAAUUCAGGCUCUAUACUGCCAUCUUCAGCAAACCCUUAAAAGGCACCGAAGUAAGCUUAAUAAUUACCAUAAAAAAGUUAGGUCAAGGUGUAGCCUACGUAGUGGUCCAAAAUGGGCUACAUUUUCUAUUUCAGGAUAUACUAAUGAACAUCAUCAUGAAAAAAUGGCUGAAGGAGGAUUUAGUAGUAAUUAAGAAUAGAUAGCUUAAUCGAAUUAGGCCAUGAAGCACGCACACACUGCCCAUCACCCUCCUCAAAUAUCUUUAACUACAUAAUCAUAUUUAAACUUAAACAAAUAUGAGAGGAGACAAGUCAUAACAAGGUAAGCAUACUGGAAAAUGUGCUCGGAUAACUCAAAAA
rnacentral:ncRNA from 1 species